CCUGUGUUCUCAAAAUGCUCUCUCUAUGUGUGUGUGUGUGUGUGUGAGAGAGAGAGAGAGAGAGAGAGAGAGAGAGAGAGAAGAUUCAAGCUCAGCGCAUCCACUUCACUUCCCUUUCCUGCUGCAACUGUUGGAAAACUGAGACUAAAGAACACUUCCCCUCCUGACUGAGAACAGCUUGGAGUCUUACUGCCUCCCUGCUGUGCUCGGCAAAAUCGCUAUGAUUCUUUGACAGUUGGAGCUUAACCGCCCCAGCCCCCUGCUUGCCAUGCUCGUGGGGGAGCUGAGAAAAAGAGACAGUGCUCCCACGGCUCAGAAAGAAGUGAUUUCUUGCCUGUGUGCUCCCUUUAAAAAAAAAUGAGAGAGAAACCUUCUGAGAGAAGCAAGCGUAAGCAAUUCCCUCUCAGCUAAGGUAAUUGUUUCAAGUUUGGAAGUUGGCAAACGUUUCUCUCAGUUUCCUCGAGAACUCGGAUGUCUGCUGUGCCAUUUAGAACUCGAGGAGAACAAUUAAUGCUACCCUGGUUCCAAACACGCCAUUUAAGGAUUCAAGCACAUUAAAAUGCACUCACACCUGUAUGCUUCUGCUGCAGCUGUGAAAUUCUUUCCGUUUUGUCGGAUGGAUUUUGUGAGGAUGAAGAGGCAAAUAUUUUCUCCCGGUACAUUUCUCCCAGAACCUUUGCAUAUAUGUGGGAAAGUGCUUCUAAAUACAGUGGUACCUCAGGUUAAGUACUUAAUUCGUUCUGGAGGUCCGUUCUUAACCUGAAACUGUUCUUAACCUGAAGCACCACUUUAGCUAAUGGGGCCUCCUGGUGCCGCUGCGCCACUGGAGCACAAUUUCUGUUCUCAUCCUGAAGCAAAGUUCUUAACCUGAAGCACUAUUUCUGGGUUAGCAGAGUCUGUAACCUGAAGCGUAUGUAACCUGAAGUGUAUGUAACCCGAGGUACCACUGUAAAUGUCUGAGCAAUUACUUACAGCCAUGGAGGUGGCAGGCUAUCUUUUUAAUUUUAAAACGCAGGCGUUUCCAGGAUGCUAAUUUGCUGCCUGUUUGUAAAUAUGUAAAGGUAAAGGACCCCUGGAGGGUUAAGUCCAGUCAAAGGCGACUAUGGGGUUGUGGCACUCAUCUUGCUUUCAGGCUGAGGGAGCCAGCAUCUGUCCACAGACAGCUUUCUGGGUCCUGAGGCCAGCAUGACUAAGUCAUUUUUGGCACAACAGAACACCGUGACGGAAACCAGAGCGCAUGGAAACGCCAUUUACCUUUCCGAUGCAGGGGUACCUAUUUAUCUACUUGUACUAGCAUGCUUUCGAACUGCUAGGUUGGCAGGAGCUGGGACAGAGCAACGGGAGCUCAAUCUAUCACGGGGAUUCGAACCACCGACCUUCUGUUCGGCAAGCCCAAGAUGCUCAGAAUCCCUCUUUGUACACAUAUGUCUACCUGUUACUAUAUUUCAUGUAAUGGACUCUGGUCCAUGAGAGCUUAUGCCACAACAUACAACAGGAAUAUAUCAUGAUUCUCCGGCAAUGAAUGUGGGGAACCUUUGACACCCUAGUCGUUGCGGAACUGCAAGUCUCAUCAGCCUCAGCAAGCAUGACUAAUGGUCAGAGGUUGCUACAUACCUUCCAAUAUCCAUCAGAUGAAAAUAGGGACAUUUCUUACUCCCCACAACUGACCCUCCUUGAUCCCCCCACCAUUUUUGUCACACCCACCCACCACAGAGCAUUUCCUAUCAGAGGAAGAGUGAGUGUCACAACCACUGUACCAGCCGGACCCAGCACCCAAACCCUUCACCAUCCUGAGAAAACCUCUUAAUUCCGAUUUUAUUUUAUUUUAUUCUUCAAUAGAUUGAGAAAAAGCAAAACACGCACUAAUAAAUAAAUUUUUGAAAGGGGCAAGAUUAGAUGCGGGUGCACAAAGCAUUUUUUGUUUCUUGUUUUUAAUCAAAACUCCUUGCACUCUGUUUCUUCCUGACCAGAGUGGCUCCUUCUGGAUGUGAGGGUGAUCUGGCUGUGACAUCUGUCACCCCAUUGAUCACCAGGGUUGAUUCGGCUGAUCUGGCUGGCUAGGUGAGAGUCCCCUUCCUCUCUCACUCCUCCAUGUGCAUCCCUCCCGAAGCUGUGCCCUUGGUGGAUGAGGACAACCAUCCCAGAUUGUAGGAGAACGUAGGGGCUCCUUCCAAUUCUGUGAUUCUGUGACACGUGAACUGAAAAACUACAAGUUCCAUAACAUGGAAGGUGCCAUAAAGGUUUUGAUGUGCAAGUGAACAUUGCUUGUGAAACUUCCUUGGCAUUUGGGAUUGAGUCUGUUCCCUGAAUGUCAUUUUAAAGGAAGCAUUCGGUGCUUAAUAACUACACUUAAUUUCUAUGCUGGAGGAGAAAGUAGGGGAGGAUCCAUUUAUAAAACAUGCAUUAUUUACCCAAGUGACUGAAAACAACUCCUGAGGAGCUGUUUCGGUGUUUAAUAUAUUUAUUAUUCAGGGAGUUUGUUUUUUGGUAUUAUAUAUUCAUGUAACCUUUAAUGCAGAUUGGGAACAAAGAUAUGUGGUGGUUGCUAAGGGUAUCCAUCAGUAAGAUUUGCUAUCGUUCUAGAACAGUGGUUCUCAAACUUUUUUUUUCCUCUGGACCGCAUUUUCAGAAUAAAACUCUGCUCGCGCCACAUCAAAUUUGUUAUUGAUAAGGAAUAUAUUGGGAAACGAAAAGAGAC